rnacentral:rRNA from 1 species
UACGAAGGGGGCUAGCGUUGCUCGGAAUCACUGGGCGUAAAGGGUGCGUAGGCGGGUUUUUAAGUCAGGGGUGAAAUCCUGGAGCUCAACUCCAGAACUGCCUUUGUUACUGAAGAUCUCGAGUCCGGGAGAGGUGAGUGGAACUGCGAGUGUAGAGGUGAAAUUCGUAGAUAUUCGCAAGAACACCAGUGGCGAAGGCGGCUCACUGGCCCGGUACUGACGCUGAGGCACGAAAGCGUGGGGAGCAAACAGG